rnacentral:tRNA from 1 species
UGGGAUUUAGCUCAGUGGUAGAGCACUUGCCUAGCAAGCGCAAGGCCCUGGGUUCAGUCCCCAGCUCCCAG